AAUGAUCACAUGAUUUCCAGAAACAAAUUAUUUAACGGUUUUGCUUUCAAAAGUAAUUUCCCUUCACUAGGCCUUCAUCCAUUGGCAAGGUUUUCCAUGCUGAAAGAUUGGCUUUGGCUACAUUUAAUACAAAACCUAAAUAACAGUGGCUUAAGCAAGAUAGGAUUUACUUCAUCUCUUGUAGAAAGAGACCAGAAAAAGGAAUUUCAGGCAUAGUUCAGUAGGGUAGCUCAGGGCCAUAUCUGGCACAAACCAGGGGUUUGAAUGUGUGUCAGGUAAAUUUUAAAAACCCCAAGUAAUCGACUCAGAGGUGUUAGGCCAAGGUCUCUGUGAUUCCCUUUGCCUCUCCCUCAUUGUUGAUUAUAAAAUGGCCACUGCAGCUCCAGUCACCUCUUUAUUCUCGACAGGAAAAAUAAACAGGCAAGGACAAGAGGGAUGGACCAAGCCUGAAGUCCUUUUAAGGAAGACACCACCUACCACCACCAUGGGUGAUAGGCUGUCAUCACUACUACAACAUCUGCCUAUGCAUCCUUGAAUAUAAACAGGUACUUAAAAGCACAGCAUUGACAACAACAAAAAAUGCUUUCCUUUUGGCUUGAAAGAAGGCAAUAAGAAGAAAGAUUUUAGGAGCUGAGCUGGAAAUUAAGAAGAAAGCCUCAAGGUUCUGUGAGCAUGAACCUACUUAAGGGGUCUUGCCUCCAAGACAGUAUUUAGGAUAUAUGGAAAGAAGCACAGGAAAAAAAGAACUACAAUACAACCUCUACCAUACAUCAGAUGUCUGAGUCCUGAGCUCUGUUCUGUUCCACUGGUCAAUUUGUCUUCCUGCACCAAGACAAUACUAUCUUAAUUAUUAGAGUUUUAAAAUAUUUUAAUAUUUAGUAGACAAGUACAUCUACCUUAUUCCUCUUCAUCAGAAGUGUUGUAAUUCUUGGCACAUUGCUAUUCUGAACACCUUUUAAAAUUAGUUUGCGAAUUUCCACCAAAAACACUGUUGGGAUUUGAAUUGUGCUGUAUUAAAACUGUGGAUCAGUUUGGGGAGUACUGACAUAUUUAGAGCAUUGAGUCUUCCUUUUCAUGAACAUGGAAUCUUUCUCUAUCAAGUUCUUCUUUUACAUCUUUCAGUAAUGUUUUAUAGUUUAUCCAUAAAGGUCUUGCAUAUUUUUUGUGAGAUUGCUCUGAAGUACAUUUUUUUGUUGUUGCAAUUGCAAAUGGAUAUUUAGAGGCCGUUUGCUCUUUGUGGCUGGUGUAUAUAAAUGAAUUGAUUUUUAUGAAUUCAUCUUUUGCCCAACCACUUUGCCAAACUCAUAAUUCCAAUAUUUUUUCUACAGAUUCUUUUGGGUUUUCUAUGUAUACAUAACAUCUAUGAAAAAUGAUAGUUUUUGUUCCUUCCUUUCCAAUCUUUGUAUCUAUUAGUUUUUCUCUUGACUCUUUGUACUGGC
rnacentral:lncRNA from 10 species